GGAAGUAAAAGUCGUAACAAGGUCUCCGUUGGUGAACCAGCGGAGGGAUCAUUACCGAGUUUACAACUCCCAAACCCCUGUGAACAUACCACUUGUUGCCUCGGCGGAUCAGCCCGCUCCCGGUAAAACGGGACGGCCCGCCAGAGGACCCCUAAACUCUGUUUCUAUAUGUAACUUCUGAGUAAAACCAUAAAUAAAUCAAAACUUUCAACAACGGAUCUCUUGGUUCUGGCAUCGAUGAAGAACGCAGCAAAAUGCGAUAAGUAAUGUGAAUUGCAGAAUUCAGUGAAUCAUCGAAUCUUUGAACGCACAUUGCGCCCGCCAGUAUUCUGGCGGGCAUGCCUGUCCGAGCGUCAUUUCAACCCUCGAACCCCUCCGGGGGGUCGGCGUUGGGGAUCGGCCCUGCCUUGGCGGUGGCCGUCUCCGAAAUACAGUGGCGGUCUCGCCGCAGCCUCUCCUGCGCAGUAGUUUGCACACUCGCAUCGGGAGCGCGGCGCGUCCACAGCCGUUAAACACCCAACUUCUGAAAUGUUGACCUCGGAUCAGGUAGGAAUACCCGCUGAGCUUAAGCAUAUCAAUAAGCGGAGGA
rnacentral:rRNA from 2 species